rnacentral:rRNA from 1 species
CACGCAGGCGGAUUGAUAAGUCAGGGGUGAAAUCCCGGGGCUCAACCUCGGAAUUGCCUUUGAUACUGUUUAUCUCGAGUUCGGGAGAGGUUGGCGGAAUUCCUAGUGUAGAGGUGAAAUUCGUAGAUAUUAGGAAGAACACCAGUGGCGAAGGCGGCCAACUGGCCCGAUACUGACGCUCAUGUGCGAAAGCGUGGGGAGCAAACAGGAUUAGAUACCCUGGUAGUCCACGCCGUAAACUAUGGAUGCUAGCCGUUGGGGAGCUUGCUCUUCAGUGGCGCAGCUAACGUCUUAAGCAUCCCGCCUGGGGAGUACGGUCGCAAGAUUAAA